rnacentral:rRNA from 1 species
AAAUGAAUAGACGGGGGCCCGCACAAGCAGUGGAGCAUGUGGUUUAAUUCGACGCAACGCGAAGAACCUUACCUAGGCUUGAAACGCUGAUUAAUCCUGAUGAAAGUCAGAGUGCCGCAAGGCGAAUCAGUACAGGUGCUGCAUGGCUGUCGUCAGCUCGUGCCGUGAGGUGUUGGGUUAAGUCCCGCAACGAGCGCAACCCUCGUUCUUAGUUGCCAUCAGGUAAUGCUGAGCACUCUAAGAAGACUGCCUACGCAAGUAGUGAGGAAGGUGGGGAUGACGUCAAGUCCGCAUGGCCCUUACGCCUAGGGCCACACACGUGCUACAAUGGCCAUUACAAAGGGUUGCAAUACCGCGAGGUGGAGCCAAUCCCUAAAAAAUGGUCUCAGUUCGGAUUGGAGUCUGCAACUCGACUCCAUGAAGCUGGAAUUGCUAGUAAUCGCGCAUCAGCACGGCGCGGUGAAUACGUUCCCGGGCCUUGUACACACCGCCCGU